rnacentral:rRNA from 1 species
UACGUAGGGCGCGAGCGUUGUCCGGAAUUAUUGGGCGUAAAGAGCUCGUAGGCGGCUUGUUGCGUCGACUGUGAAAACCCACGGCUCAACUGUGUGGCCUGCAGUCGAUACGGGCAAGCUAGAGUUCGGUAGGGGAGACUGGAAUUCCUGGUGUAGCGGUGAAAUGCGCAGAUAUCAGGAGGAACACCGGUGGCGAAGGCGGGUCUCUGGGCCGAUACUGACGCUGAGGAGCGAAAGCGUGGGGAGCGAACAGG